ensembl:snRNA U6 U6 spliceosomal RNA
GCUUUUUUCAGUAGUGUACAUACUCAUUUAGGAAAAAUAUAUAGAUGAUCAACAUGACUCUUGCUCAAGGAUGACAUACAAUUCCAUGACACAUUCCAUAGUUUU